rnacentral:rRNA from 1 species
ACAAGUAGUCAGAGCCCGUUAAUGGGUGAUGGCGUGCCUUUUGUAGAAUGAACCGGCGAGUUACGAUUUGAUGCAAGGUUAAGCAGUAAAUGUGGAGCCGUAGCGAAAGCGAGUCUGAAUAGGGCGUUUAGUAUUUGGUCGUAGACCCGAAACCAGGUGAUCUACCCUUGGUCAGGUUGAAGUUCAGGUAACACUGAAUGGAGGACCGAACCGACUUACGUUGAAAAGUGAGCGGAUGAACUGAGGGUAGCGGAGAAAUUCCAAUCGAACCUGGAGAUAGCUGGUUCUCUCCGAAAUAGCUUUAGGGCUAGCCUCAAGUGAUGAUUAUUGGAGGUAGAGCACUGUUUGGACGAGGGGCCCCUCUCGGGUUACCGAAUUCAGACAAACUCCGAAUGCCAAUUAAUUUAACUUGGGAGUCAGAACAUGGGUGAUAAGGUCCGUGUUCGAAAGGGAAACAGCCCAGACCACCAGCUAAGGUCCCAAAAUAUAUGUUAAGUGGAAAAGGAUGUGGCGUUGCCCAGACAACUAGGAUGUUGGCUUAGAAGCAGCCAUCAUUUAAAGAGUGCGUAAUAGCUCACUAGUCGAGUGACACUGCGCCGAAAAUGUACCGGGGCUAAACAUAUUACCGAAGCUGUGGAUUGUCCUUUGGACAAUGGUAGGAGAGCGUUCUAAGGGCGUUGAAGCAUGAUCGUAAGGACAUGUGGAGCGCUUAGAAGUGAGAAUGCCGGUGUGAGUAGCGAAAGACGGGUGAGAAUCCCGUCCACCGAUUGACUAAGGUUUCCAGAGGAAGGCUC